AUGCACUCUCCUGCCUUCCAGGAGUCACGGAGCACAUGGGAGGGAUUUAAUGGCAAGAUGGGUUCUGGGCUUUUCUCCUUUAUUCCUCCCGGAAAACCACCCUCACUUCCUGUGCCCUCUGCCCUAGGCGUCUGCAGCACUGGCACCCAGCGUUCUGCAGCCCAUGGUUCUGGAGUUGAGGAUUCUGGAAACCCCGUUUCCCUGAAGGGGAUGCAAGGAGCUUCUGUGUUGUUUCAAGUGCUCAGAAACCCAGACUUGCCUGCAGGAGUCGAGCUGGAGAACAUGACCUGGGGGAUCUCCUCCGGGGCAAACUACACAAUCCUGCUGCAGGUCUCCCCUGGGGCACGCGAUCCAGAAUGGGUCAACUUCCAGGACAAGUUCCAGAAGAGGGUCCAUGUGCUCAACAUUACGACCCUGAGGAUGAACAACCUGACCCUGGAGGACACUGGGCUGUACCGGGCUCGGGGCUUCUACUCCAGAGGAAGACAAUACGACCAGGAUUUCCACCUGACUGUGUAUGAGCCCCUGCCCCUUCCCCAGAUCCGGACCACGAAUCUGUCCAUCACCCCAGGCUGGUGCAACAUCACCGUGCAGUGUGACACCCCGGGAACCAGGGAGGACCUGACCAUGUCCUGGAGGAGCAGGGGACUCCCCAGGGAGCUGGAACAGGGAGGGGCCCCAGGACCAGCCCCCAACCCCUGGACCCUGGCUCUGAGCCUGCCCCUGACCCAGCCCAGCGCCAGCCUCACCUGUGUGCUCAGCAACCAGGGGGACCAGAAAACUGCCACCUUGGACCUUGGGGACAUCUGUGGCCACGGUGAGUGCAUCCUGCAGAAGGGAGGGGCUCCCGGGGCUCAGGCAGCCCUGGGUGAGGGUUUUCGGGUCUGUCCCCUUGUUUAUGGCACCACCUGCCACCUGGUCACCCCAUCCAGAGUCUGGCAGGCACAUCCACUUGCUUCUGCCCUUGCAUGUUGCUCCCGGGCUCCUCUACCCCCACCCUCACCCUUGCUUGUCCAGGCAGCACCCAGCAGGGACCUCUGCCCACCCUCAUCCAUCAUUCCCUGUGUCCAGGGUGGUUUUCAUGAGGGGAGUCGAGGCAUGUCAGGGGUCUGUGCCACCAGCAGGGGUGUGAAUCAGCGACUCCCUCAGGAUUCAGGGCCGGGGGCUCCUCUGCUCGAUCCUGGGCUCACGGACAACAUCACCCUACCUGCUGGCCUGCGUCCCAGAUGUCACCUGCUGUCCUCAGCCCCCAGCCUCUGGUCAGCUCCUCCCUCUGCCCUCAGCCCUUCCAGGUCAGGAUCCUCACUCCCCCUACUCCCAUCCAGGGACCCCUUGGCUCCAGCUGGCUCUGGGCCCUGA
rnacentral:lncRNA from 1 species